rnacentral:rRNA from 1 species
GACGAACGCUGGCGGUGUGCCUCACACAUGCAAGUCGAACGGGGUAGCAAUACCCAGUGGCGGACGGGUGAGUAACACGUAGGAAUCUGCCUUUAGAUGGGGGAUAACUGGCCGAAAGGUCAGCUAAUACCGCAUAUGCCGAAAGGUGAAAGGAGCAAUCCCGUCUGAAGAUGAGCCUGCGCCCGAUUAGCUAGUUGGUAAGGUAAAAGCUUACCAAGGCAACGAUCGGUAGCUGGUCUGAGAGGAUGAUCAGCCACAAUGGAACUGAGACACGGUCCAUACUCCUACGGGAGGCAGCAGUGGGGAAUUUUACACAAUGGGCGAAAGCCUGAUGUAGCGACACCGCGUGAGCGAAGAAGCCCUUGGGUGUAAAGCUCUGUCGGCAGGGACGAAAAAAAUGACGGUACCUGCAGAGGAAGCAUCGGCUAACUACGUGCCAGCAGCCGCGGUAAU